GAUGAACGCUGGCGGCGUGCCUAAUACAUGCAGGUCGAGCGAACAGAUGAGGAGCUUGCUCCUCUGACGUUAGCGGCGGACGGGUGAGUAACACGUGGAUAACCUACCUAUAAGACUGGGAUAACUUCGGGAAACCGGAGCUAAUACCGGAUAAUAUAUUGAACCGCAUGGUUCAAUAGUGAAAGACGGUUUUGCUGUCACUUAUAGAUGGAUCCGCGCCGCAUUAGCUAGUUGGUAAGGUAACGGCUUACCAAGGCAACGAUGCGUAGCCGACCUGAGAGGGUGAUCGGCCACACUGGAACUGAGACACGGUCCAGACUCCUACGGGAGGCAGCAGUAGGGAAUCUUCCGCAAAGGGCGAAAGCCUGACGGAGCAACGCCGCGUGAGUGAUGAAGGUCUUCGGAUCGUAAAACUCUGUUAUUAGGGAAGAACAAAUGUGUAAGUAACUAUGCACGUCUUGACGGUACCUAAUCAGAAAGCCACGGCUAACUACGUG
rnacentral:rRNA from 1 species